UAAGUUUUAUUUGUGACGCGAUUUGGUUUAUCUUCCGAAGAAACUGUUAAGCUCACAAUGCUGAUAUGUUGUUGUUGUCGGCCACGUGUGUAGAUUGACACCGCGAUCGUGGAACACAUGGCUAUCUGCCUCGAAUAACUGCAAGCCGGCGCGCGCGUAGUGCCGUGGAGAACAAUCAGAAGUCCUGGACGACAAAGAAAAAAACUUCAAAGGUUUGUUGUACAUGUUUUCCACGGCAGCUGACAUAAACGUAAAAAAAAUUGGAAUGGUCAAAUGCAUGUGUCAAGUUUAACCAUUUGUAGUGGGCUGUGGACGAGAAUUAAGCAUUGCUGCACACAAGACUGGCUUGCCCUCAGUUUAUGCCCAGUACCAAAUUUUUUGCUCUCAUUAUGACACCAUUUGUAAGAAAAGCCAGAACUUAUGUUCAAAACAGCGCAUAUUCUUGCUAUUCUUUUAUUCAGUUGCACGUGUGAGUCCUGCUGCUGGCCAUCAGUUAGCCGGUUAUCAGAAGAAAAGGGCACAGCCCAGUUUGUACUGGUAUAUACCGUAUCGUUUGUGAUUAUGAUCAUGAUUUUUGUCUUACUGAAACAAGAAACUGAAAAAUGUAUGUUGGUGUUUCUGCUACAUCUCUAUGAAGCAGCAGAACCUGUUGCUCAGUCACUUGGUGCAUAUUAGCAACUGGCACCUUGUCUGGCUUCCCGAUACCUCCGCCUUUUUUCAGUGCAUAAGUAGUUUCACACAACCGAAAUGACCAACUAGCCCACUCUGUUUGUCAAGUAGGUUUUACUUCCAAACAAAUGUAGCACAUUUGUGAUAUGCACUGUUGCUCAAUGAUAUUCUUUUUGCAUGUGCUAGCUGUGUACACAUAUUACAUGAUCUUUUUUCUUUUUUUUCAGCUGCUUCUAGUAGUGGUGCCCCUGGUGUGCACCUUUACCCCAAAUGUCUGCACCUUUGCCUACCGGUAAUGACAUAGAAUGUGCUCAGCUUCCUGGACAUAGGCAUGCAGGUUACGAGACGGAAAACGUGCAGCUUAGACUUCAUGCUUGUAAAUGCGAAAGUCGUAACCGACACAAUUAGAGUAAGCUAAAAGGAGAAAUUUCUGCUUAUGAGCAAGUAAUUAUGAAGCAGGUUUUACUCCUUUUAAACUAGCAGACAUGCAACAACACAGUUGUGCUAUGUUUGUUUUGUGCGCCACUUUCAUGCAUAUUUGUGCUUGCAGUGGAUAUGCAUAUACAUGAAGGAUUUGUUUUUGUUUUCCUCAGCUGCCUCUGCGAACCCCGCUCCUGGACAACAGCUGGGAGGCUCUGUGUUUAAACGCGUGCACCUUGGACGUCAUGCUCCUGCCUCUGCGAGCCCUGCUGUUCGACGCCAGCUGGAAUGCUCUGCGUUUGAAAGCGUGCACCCCAGAUGUCAUGCUCAUAAAUACAGAGUUCUCAUGAUUCUAGUGUUGACAAAGCAAUAAGUAAAAGCAGGCACUUGUGUAUCUGGAAUGAGGUUUAACCCUGUCUUAGGAGACAUAAGACAAUAUAGUGAUGCUAUGUUCCUGUUGUUCACCAUUUUCAUGCAUGUUGUGUGCAGUACGUAUACAUACAUGCAGGCUUUGUUUUUGUUGUCCUCAGCUGCCUCUGCAAGCCCUUUUGCUGGACGCCAUGGAAGGCCCUCCACUCGAAAGUGUGCACCUUAGACUACACGCUCAUCAAUACCAAGUUCUCUGUCCUUCUCGGCAUGAUUGUAGUGCCAUAUAAUAGUGAGGCAAUAAAUCAUUUUUGCUGGUCA